CUCCCCGGCACCUCUAACCUGGUGUCCCCAUCAUAUCCCUAAACAUUCAGCCAGCUGGACAGGGAACCCAGAGACUUUGCCAACGUGGCCGUCCUCUUUCCCUGAGAGGCUGGAUAGGUCCUUCCGCCCCUCGGUCUCAGGCGCCUGGGCUGGACCGAGAUGCUGCAGCGUUUGGGGGGGAGCCGCUCUUUCUCGUUGGGGGAUUGCCUUGUGCCUUGCAGUGUGCUUUGUUCCUUCCUGUCCACUCGAUCCAGUGCCCCCCAGUCAAUGCAAGAAGGAAGAAUGCCCAACGGGUUUCCUGUGCCUCAUGGAUCUGUGCUCUGAGGUUCUUCCCAGUCUGCCAGGGGCUUUCUCCACAGGAGGAGGAGCGUCCUGGCAGGUGCAGCUGGAGGGGAAGGAGGUUUAACUCUCAACUUCCAUCAAUGGGGAAGGAGUAAGUGGGCUGAAUGCCUUUGUCCCUGGCCCUUCAGCAGGACAAUUGUGAGGCAAAGGGGCCCCCGGCGGGAUCGAGCCCAAGUGUCCACGGUGGGAGCAAGCCCAAGGACACACCAUUCGUUGUCUCUUUCCACAUCCCACUCCCCCUGGCCCCCUACUCCUGCCUCCUGGGUGCACGGUGGUCCUCAGCCCAGACUGCUUCCAAGAGGACCCAGACUGGGGCCAAUUCCUAUACCCGGUCUGGGAUGCGGAGAAAGAGAAUCGGUGCCUGCUGCAGGCGACGAGUUGGAGCACUGUGUCCCCUGACACCCACUUCACCGUCACCGCCACCACCACCCCCAGCGGACAGAGCGCACAACGCCUACAGGAGCCGGGCCAUGGGUGAGGACAGAGCAGGAGACCAGCUCCACGGCCCUCCAGGCUCUCCAGUCCAGACCAGCUUCCUGCAGAGUGGGAAAGGAGAGCAGGCCCUCCCUGGGUGCAGCGUGACAACACCGGGAGCCGGGUAGGGGGGGUGGGGACACUGCAGAGACUCUCUGAGUUGGCUGGCCUUGCCGAGCACCAGCUCCGGGGUCACCGCUCUGAGCAGGAGCAGCCGGUAGCACAGGGUAUGUUUCCCUGGGUGGGCCGGACCCCUGGGGGCUUGAGCAGGGUGGGGGCCGCUCCCCCUGCUGGACUGACUAACCGGACAACUUA